rnacentral:lncRNA from 1 species
UGUAUAUAAUAAGAUCAUUUGGCAGAUACUUGAGCAAUUCUAAAUUUGAAUUGUUGAAAUGUGGCAACCAUAAGGAUUGUUAUAGAGAACAAUAAUUUGUGCUCACAUAUCAGAGAUUGAAUAAUUUGGAGAUCAUCAGUAUGUUUGACUAUGAUAAUUUUGGAUGUCUAUUUAUAAUGGACUACUAACUCAAGAAAUGACUGUAAAUAUUUAUGUCACUUGGUUGCAUAAAGUAAAAGGUUUUGAAAGACAAGUUAUAUCUUGACAUAAGUUAGUCGGAUAAUGUUUCAACAAUUAUUUUAUAAAGUUUGUUGACUUGUUAGUUGUUGUUGAAUGAUAGAACAUAUGGAGAUAAAGUUUAUGCUAGCUGACUCACUAAUCAAAGACUUGACACUUAAGGUCUUUCAUUCGAUUGUUGUCACUAAGGAUGUCUUGGAUUAGUGGGAGUCUCUCAUUCGUUAUGUUCUUACUUUGGUUUUUGAUAUUGAUACGGAUUUUGUUAAGGUUUUCUGCAGAAAUAAAGUUUGAGGUUAUUAUUGUUAUAACCAGUUAUGUAUCUUUGGUGCAAAUAUAUUGAAUUUGCAAACUUCAGUUUGAUCUCACUAAAGUUUUC